GGCAGUGGCUCAGUGGAAAGAGCACGGGCUUUGGAGUCAGAGGUCAUGGGUUCAAAUCCCAGCUCGGCCA
rnacentral:tRNA from 1 species